rnacentral:lncRNA from 1 species
CCCUAUAUACGUGUACCUGCAGUGUUGGUGUACGAGGCGCGUUUAUGAUUUUUAUUAUGUUACUUGAUAUGAAAAAUUGACAAAAAAUAAUAUUUUACUUGUAAAAGUAAAUCCUGAGCCUGUAAUAGCUGCUCUUCUUGUUCCAUUUGAAUUAAUAGAAACAACGCUGUCGCCUUUCUUGUUCUCAUAGAAUCAUAUGAUAUGAGCUCCAUGUUUUGUGAACGUAUUUCUUAACUGUCGUAUUAGACUGACCAGUCCAUAUCGCGCAUGACACUUUAAAUGUAUUUAGCGCGAAAAUUAACUUACAUUUAGCUGGAUUUAUUGCCGUCGUAGUUCCAUCUUGUCGCCUUCGUACUUUUAUUCGAUGGCAACACGACAGGAUUACGAGGUCUUCACGAAGUCGUGUUGCCAUCGUAAGACCUUCGGGUAUCUUCGUGAUUCAUUCGUGUAGACAUCUUAAUGUCAAAACUGCCCGAUGGAAACGAUGGAAACACGAAUGCAAUACGAUGUGCAAAGAUGCAUUCCCGGUGACAUUACGAUGGUGAGGAUGGUGAUACGAACUCAAUACGAACCCUCAACAUCGGACGCACCUUCGGGGAUUUUUUAACAUGUUAAAAAAUUUAGAACUCUUCCCGAAGUUGUCCCCGAAGUCUAGAAAAAGUGGCCGAUGGUUCUACGAUGGUUAAAGAUGGCACUACGAAUAGCCCGAUCUGGAUACGAUCAGUCCCGAUUUUGAAAAUUUCCAUUAUCGUGUUGCCAUCGGC